rnacentral:pre_miRNA from 1 species
AUUCUACUACCUCCGUUGCACAAUACAUGCCUUCUAUUUGUCAAAAUAUAUAUGUAUCUAGACAUGUUUUAGUAUAUAGGCACAUCCAUUUUUGGACAAAUGGAAGUCAAGUAUUUUGGAACGGAGGGAGUACAUA